CCUAUCCAACAUAUGGAUUUUUGUGUACUGCCACGUGUAAUUGCUCCGAUUCUUAUUGCAGUCAUGUGACUGGAUGUCUUCUGACCACAGAAUCUUCUCGACCAGUAAACCAGACUACAGGCAAAACAAAUAUUGUGUUCAAUCAUAC